UUGGCAACAAGGGCACAUUGUUUACUCAUAUCCAGCUUGUGAUCCACUAUGACCUGCAGGCCCGUUUCCGCAGUACUCCUACCUAGAUAGUCGUUUCCCCAUUUUGUAUGUGUGCAACUAACUGUUCCUUCCUAAGUGGAGUACUUUGCAUUUGUCCUUACUGAAUUUCAUCCUGUUUA